rnacentral:rRNA from 1 species
CCAGCAGCCGCGGUAAUUCCAGCUCCAGUAGCGUAUAUAAAAGUUGUUGCAGUUGAAAAGCUCGUAGUUGGAUUUCUGGUUUGGAACAACUGGCCCGCUGCGUUUCGUAGUGAGUGCUGGCUUGAUCUAGCCAUCCUUCCAAGGAACGCACCUGCCCUUCAUUGGGUUGGGUGUGGAACUUGGAUCGUUUACUUUGAAAAAAUUAGAGUGUUCAAAGCAGGCCUACGCCUUGAAUACAUUAGCAUGGAAUAAUAACAUAGGACUUUGGUUCUAUUUUGUUGGUUUCUAGGACUAAAGUAAUGAUUGAUAGGGAUAGUUGGGGGUGCUAGUAUUGUACGGCCAGAGGUGAAAUUCUUGGGUUCGUGCAAGACUAACUAAUGCGAAAGCAUUCACCAAGGAUGUCUUCUUUAAUCAAGAACGAAAGU